UUUCCCUACGGGGCGCAGCAGUGGGGAAUAUUGCGCAAUGGGCGAAAGCCUGACGCAGCGACGCCGCGUGGGUGAAGGAGUAUUUCGGUAUGUAAAGCCCUAUCAGCAGGGAAGAACAAUGACGGUACCUGACUAAGAAGCACCGGCUAAAUACGUGCCAGCAGCCGCGGUAAUACGUAUGGUGCAAGCGUUAUCCGGAUUUACUGGGUGUAAAGGGAGCGCAGGCGGCGCGUUAAGCCUGGUGUGAAAGCCCGCGGCCCAACCGCGGGACUGCAUUGGGAACUGGCGCGCUGGAGUGCCGGAGG
rnacentral:rRNA from 1 species